UUUUCGGAGGUACUCGAGUGGCGAACGGGUGAGUAACACGUGGGUGAUCUGCCCUGCACUCUGGAUAAGCCUGGGAAACUGGGUCUAAUACCGGAUAGGACCGCACUUUAGUGUGUGUGGUGGAAAGUUUUUUCGGUGUAGGAUGAGCCCGCGGCCUAUCAGCUUGUUGGUGGGGUAAUGGCCUACCAAGGCGGCGACGGGUAGCCGGACUGAGAGGUUGGUCGGCCACAUUGGGACUGAGAUACGGCCCAG
rnacentral:rRNA from 1 species